rnacentral:telomerase_RNA from 1 species
CUCUGCAUCAGAUCUCAUCAACCAACAGGGUGAGCACAAUGACCGCCCGAGCAACCCUAAACUAGGCUUGUCCAGCACGAACACGGCGGGGAUUUAAAGAAAACUUUGCCCCCACAAACUAAAGUUUCAUAUGAUGACAUCUACACAACAGCUGUCGAGGGGGUUAAGGAUACACGUUCAGCUCGAAGCUCAAACGUGCAAAUGGUACUUCCAUGAGCCUCAACCAUACAACCGGACAGCAAAUACAUUUGGGAUGUCUGAGCUGCAUUUUUG